rnacentral:rRNA from 1 species
GACGAACGCUGGCGGCAUGCCUUACACAUGCAAGUCGAACGGUAGCGCGGGGCAGCCUGGCGACGAGUGGCGAACGGGUGAGUAAUGCAUCGGAACGUGCCCAACAGUGGGGGAUAGCCCGGCGGAAGCCGGAUUAAUACCGCAUACGACCUGAGGGUGAGAGCGGGGGAUCGCAAGACCUCGCGCUGAUGGAGCGGCCGAUGUCAGAUUAGGUAGUUGGUGGGGUAAAGGCCUACCAAGCCGACGAUCUGUAGCUGGUCUGAGAGGACGACCAGCCACACUGGGACUGAGACACGGCCCAGACUCCUACGGGAGGCAGCAGUGGGGAAUUUUGGACAAUGGGGGAAACCCUGAUCCAGCCAUGCCGCGUGCGGGAAGAAGGCCUUCGGGUUGUAAACCGCUUUUGUCGGGGAAGAAAUCCUUCGAGCUAAUACCUUGAGGGGAUGACGGUACCCGAAGAAUAAGCACCGGCUAACUACGUGCCAGCCGCCGCCGUAA